rnacentral:rRNA from 1 species
UACGUAGGGUGCAAGCGUUAAUCGGAAUUACUGGGCGUAAAGCGUGCGCAGGCGGUUUUGUAAGUCUGACGUGAAAGCCCCGGGCUCAACCUGGGAAUUGCGUUGGAGACUGCAAGGCUUGAAUCUGGCAGAGGGGGGUAGAAUUCCACGUGUAGCAGUGAAAUGCGUAGAGAUGUGGAGGAACACCGAUGGCGAAGGCAGCCCCCUGGGUCAAGAUUGACGCUCA